UACAUAAACAGGCAUCCUUAUGUUAUUAUUUUUUUACAAAAACAAAUAAGAGUUCAAAAUAAAAAUUUUAAUUUAUGAAAAGAGAAGAAGUAGGAAAAGUAUUUUUAAUUCAACAUUUACUGAGUGAAUCAGGAGAAGAAGUGUUGGUAAUUUAUUUUAAAACAGAUUGUAUCACGAGAAGAAGUGGUAAGAGUAAUGAAAUUCUUUCAUUCAACAUUACGAAUUGAAUUACGAGAAGAAGUGGUUGUAAUUGAUUUAAAACAUAUUGCAUCACGAGAAGAAUAGGAAAAAUAUUGCUAUACUUAAGUAUCAAGAUUAAAAUACUGAUGUACCGUUAAACUGAAGGUGGUAAUAAAGUUUACAAAAUUUGCUCUGGCUGAAUUUUUCAAUGAAAAAACAAUAUGUGUGCUAUGAAUGUAAUCUGUUUUUCAUGGAGUAUCAAUGAAAGUUUGGUGUAUUGGCCAAAUCACUUGCAAGCAUCUUGCCUUUAAACUGCCAUACGUAAAGUCACGCUUAUAAAAGUAACUGAAAGCAGCUGAAAAUAAGAAUUUUUUGAUGAACUUUCUUACUUCGGUUGGAGGAGAUGAGAAGCAACUUACAGCGGCAAUCUUAAUACAGCUAAUGGUCAAAGAAGUAUGUUUUUCAUACUCAGUGUAUGGAAUGAAACAAAAACGUCUUGCAAGGUCGUUAUAGAGUUCCGUUUAGUCGUUUAUCGUUGUAUUCGCUCAUUUCGAAAUCACUACUGACAAAAGUA
rnacentral:lncRNA from 1 species